GACGAACCGUGCGAACGUUAUUCGGAAUCAUUGGGCUUAAAGAGCGCGUAGGCGGCGACGUAAGUUGGAAGUGAAAUCCCAUCGGCUCAACCGUGGAAUCGCUCCCAGUACUGCGUUGCUCGAGGGAGAUAGGGGCCUGUGGAACUGCCGGUGGAGCGGUGAAAUGCGUAGAUAUCAUGAGGAAGACCAGUGGCGAAGGCGGGUCUCUGGACAGUUCCUGACACUGAGACACGAAGGCCAGGGGAGCAAACGGG
rnacentral:rRNA from 1 species